rnacentral:tRNA from 9 species
GGCCCCUUGGUCAAGUGGUUAAGACACCGCCCUUUCACGGCGUGAACGUGGGUUCAAAUCCCGCAGGGGUCACCA